rnacentral:rRNA from 1 species
UGGGGAAUAUUGCACAAUGGGCGCAAGCCUGAUGCAGCCAUGCCGCGUGUAUGAAGAAGGCCUUCGGGUUGUAAAGUACUUUCAGCGGGGAGGAAGGGAGUAAAGUUAAUACCUUUGCUCAUUGACGUUACCCGCAGAAGAAGCACCGGCUAACUCCGUGCCAGCAGCCGCGGUAAUACGGAGGGUGCAAGCGUUAAUCGGAAUUACUGGGCGUAAAGCGCACGCAGGCGGUUUGUUAAGUCAGAUGUGAAAUCCCCGGGCUCAACCUGGGAACUGCAUCUGAUACUGGCAAGCUUGAGUCUCGUAGAGGGGGGUAGAAUUCCAGGUGGAGCGGUGAAAUGCGUAGAGAGCUGGAGGAAUACCGGUGGCGAAGGCGGCCCCCUGGACGAAGACUGACGCUCAGGUGCGAAAGCGUGGGGAGCAAACAGG